GGGAGGGGUACAUNANCAGUCGAGGGGCAUCGGGAGGGAAGCUUACUUUCCUUGCCGGCGACCGGCGCACGGGUGAGUAACACGUAUGCAACCUGCCCUCUUCAGGGGGACAACCUUCCGAAAGGGAGGCUAAUCCCGCGUAUAUCGGUUUCGGGCAUCCGUUAUCGAGGAAAGAUUCAUCGGAAGAGGAUGGGCAUGCGGCGCAUUAGCUAGACGGCGGGGUAACGGCCCACCGUGGCGACGAUGCGUAGGGGUUCUGAGAGGAAGGUCCCCCACACUGGUACCGAGACACGGACCAGACUCCUACGGGAGGCAGCAGUGAGGAAUAUUGGUCAAUGGGAGAGAUCCUGAACCAGCCAAGCCGCGUGAGGGAAGACGGCCCUAUGGGUUGUAAACCUCUUUUGUCGGAGAACAAAACCCGGGACGUGUCCCGGACUGCGUGUAUCCGAAGAAAAAGCAUCGGCUAACUCCGUGCCAGCAGCCGCGGUAAUACGGAGGAUGCGAGCGUUAUCCGGAUUUAUUGGGUUUAAAGGGUGCGUAGGCGGUCUGUUAAGUCAGCGGUAAAAUUGCGGGGCUCAACCCCGUCGAGCCGUUGAAACUGGCAGACUUGAGUUGGCGAGAAGUACGCGGAAUGCGCGGUGUAGCGGUGAAAUGCAUAGAUAUCGCGCAGAACUCCGAUUGCGAAGGCAGCGUACCGGCGCCAGACUGACGCUGAGGCACGAAAGCGUGGGGAUCGAACAGGAUUAGAUA
rnacentral:rRNA from 1 species